rnacentral:rRNA from 1 species
AUCGAACGCUGGCGGCAUGCCUAACACAUGCAAGUCGAACGAGACCUUCGGGUCUAGUGGCGCACGGGUGCGUAACGCGUGGGAACCUGCCUUUAGGUUCGGAAUAACUCAGAGAAAUUUGAGCUAAUACCGGAUGAUGUCUUCGGACCAAAGAUUUAUCGCCUUUAGAUGGGCCCGCGUUGGAUUAGCUAGUUGGUGGGGUAAAGGCCUACCAAGGCGACGAUCCAUAGCUGGUCUGAGAGGAUGAUCAGCCACACUGGGACUGAGACACGGCCCAGACUCCUACGGGAGGCAGCAGUGGGGAAUAUUGGACAAUGGGCGAAAGCCUGAUCCAGCAAUGCCGCGUGAGUGAUGAAGGCCUUAGGGUUGUAAAGCUCUUUUACCCGAGAUGAUAAUGACAGUAUCGGGAGAAUAAGCUCCGGCUAACUCCGUG